rnacentral:rRNA from 1 species
UACGGAGGGUGCGAGCGUUGUCCGGAAUUAUUGGGCGUAAAGGGCGCGUAGGCGGUCGGAUAAGUCUUGUGUGAAAUCUUCGGGCUCAACUCGAAGUCUGCACAGGAAACUAUCUGGCUUGAGUGUGGGAGAGGUGAGUGGAAUCCUGGUGUAGCGGUGAAAUGCGUAGAUAUCAGGAGGAACACCUGUGGCGAAAGCGGCUCACUGGACCACAACUGACGCUGAGGUGCGAAAGCGUGGGGAGCAAACAGG